ACUUUCAAUAUGGAAUGUCGUGGAAUAUCUAAAAGGCGAACAGUUUUAACCCAUUUCAAAUGACGAGAAAGUGGGAAGGGAAAGGAAAAUAAGUGUAUUCGACAAAAAUAAAUAAAUAAAAACACAAGGAUAUUCCCGGGAGGUGUUCCAAGUCCAUUUCCAUAUCCUCUAACAAAAGCCUUUAUAAUCUUUCGAUAUUCCUCAACCUCUCAGGAACUCCACAAAUUUACCAAUAUAA
rnacentral:misc_RNA from 1 species